GCAAGAGUGGCGGAAUUGGUAGACGCGCUAGCCUUAGGAGCUAGUCUUUUAGGAGGUAGGGGUUCGAGUCCCCUCUCUUGCACCA
rnacentral:tRNA from 1 species